UAGAAUUAAAUUAUUUAAAUUUUAGUUUAAUUUACUAUUAAAUAAAAUAAUUUAAAGUUAAAGUAUAAUUAAGAAAUAAUUAGAUUUAUGAUAGUGUAUUAGUAUGGUGAUAGAAUUAUUAAUUAAUUUAUAAGAAAAAUUUAGUUUUGUACCUUGUGUAUCAGGGUUGAUUAAUUUAAAUAAGAAUUUAUAUUUUCUCGAAUUUAGAAGAGUUAUUAUUAUAUUAAUUUUAUUGUUAAAUAAAUAUUUAAAAUAUAAUAAUUGUAAUGAAACGUUAAUCGUUUUUAAAUAUAUCUAGUUAUCUAAGAAAGGAUUUUAAAUCUUUUAUUAUAAAAAUGAAUUUACUUUUUAAUAAAAUUUUAAUAAUAAGGACUUUUUAAGGGGAUAAGCUUUUAAAAAUAAAAUUAUAAAUAUUAAUAUUAUCAUAAAAAAUAUAGGAUUAGAAGUGUUUAUUAUUAAAAUAAUGUUAUAAUAAAUUUUUUUAUUAAAAUUAUUUGUAUUAAUUUUAGAUUUUAUAUUAGAUUAAUUUUAAUAAUAUUAUAAAUAAUGUAAUUAUGAUUGAAUUAGUAAAGAGUAUUUUAAUUUUAAUUAAAAAUUUUAGGUUAAUUUAAAUAAUUCGGCAAAAUAUUUUUCACCUGUUUAUUAAAAACAUGGCCUUUUGUUAAAAAUUUAAGGUCUAGCCUGCUCGCUGAGGAAUUAAAGGGCCGCGGUAUUUUGACCGUGCUAAGGUAGCAUAAUCAUUAGUUUCUUAAUUAGAAGCUAGAAUGAAUGGUUGGAUGAAAAAAUUACUGUUUCAAAUUAAUUGGAAUUUAAUUUUAUUUUUAAGUAAAAAAGCUUAAAUUUAUUUAAAAGACGAGAAGACCCUAUAGAGUUUUAUAAAAUAGAAAUUUUAAAAUUUUUAUAAAUAUUAAUUUUAAUUUUAAAUUUUAUUUGAUUGGGGUGAUUGAAAAAUUUAAUAAACUUUUUUUUAUUAUAACAUUAAUUUAUGAUUUUUUGAUCCAUUAUUUAUGAUUAAAAGAUUAAAUUACCUUAGGGAUAACAGCGUUAUUUUAUUGGAGAGUUCAAAUCGAUAAUAAAGUUUGCGACCUCGAUGUUGGAUUAAAAUUAAUUUUUGGUGUAGAGGCUAAAAAUAUUAGGUCUGUUCGACCUUUAAAAUUUUACAUGAUCUGAGUUUAGACCGGCGUGAGCCAGGUCGGUUUCUAUCUUUAAAUAAAAAUAAUAUUUUAGUACGAAAGGAUCAAAUAUUAGUUCAAUAAAUAAUUAAAGAUUGAAUAAAAUUA
rnacentral:rRNA from 1 species